rnacentral:lncRNA from 1 species
UUACAGGUGGGGCUUUUUUUCUUAAACCUUUAUCCAUCUUGAAAAUUCUUCUCCAGGAGAGGGAAGAAUGGUUAUCUUCAUUUGAUCAAUGGGAGAGGAGGCACAAGACAAGAUGUACAUGGAAGAUCUGUCUUAACAACUUUCAUUCUCAGUGGCCUGAUUGUCAGGAAGUAUGGCAUUAUCUGUUCUUAGUGAGUGAAGGAGCAGAGACAAAAACUACUAUCAGAAGGAGCAGGAGGGAAAAGUAAUGUAAAACUUUGCUAGUGUUGAGUUCUGGGAACACAUCCAGAUACUCCAGAAGAGUAAAAUGAAUUCAGGUAACUAAUAUCACUACGGUGUGUAACUCAAAAUAAUUAAAUUACAUUGUCAUUUGUUUGUGACAAAGAGGGAAGG